ensembl:lncRNA
CACAAAUGGAAACCUAAAUAAAGAAAAAGCAAAGCAAAACAACAAAUGGAAUACAAAGAAAAAGCAAAAAGAAGUCAGCAAAGAUAAAAAAUGAAGGAUCAGGAGGGGUAAUAGCAGGUAAGUAAAGGCGAGGUAAGGGGAAGGGGGCAAGGAAGGGGGCAAGGAAGGGGGCAAGGAAGGGAAAAAUGUAAAGGAUGAAAAAGAGAAUCACAAAGGAAUGCAAAGAGAACUAGCUUGAAUAGGGCAGGAAUGGAAAAGAAACAACAAAAGGAAAAAAAAACAGUGGAAGGAAAAUUGAAAGGAGCAGUAAAGAAAAGCAAAAUGGAAAGGGGAAAAGAAAAAAAGCAGAACUAGAAGGCAUAGCAAAGCAGUGAAAUACCAAGGAAAAGAAAAAACAGAAUAGGGUAUCAUGGCAAAACAAAGGACUCAAAGAAAUUCAACAAGAAAAAACUGCCAUCCAAAAUUGUUCAAAGAAAAAAAUAAUGACCAUAAGGAUACAAGCAAAGCCACCGACAGAAAAGCAAACAAGCAAAGAAAGGAAACCAAAGCAAAGCGAGAAAGCCAUGAAGCCAUGCAAAAUGCAAAGCAAAGGUAUGAAAGGAAAACCAAAGAGCAAAGCAAAGC